rnacentral:rRNA from 1 species
CAGUCGUACGCUUCUUUUUCACCGGAGCUUGCUCCACCGGAAAAAGAAGAGUGGCGAACGGGUGAGUAACACGUGGGUAACCUGCCCAUCAGAAGGGGAUAACACUUGGAAACAGGUGCUAAUACCGUAUAACAAUCGAAACCGCAUGGUUUUGAUUUGAAAGGCGCUUUCGGGUGUCGCUGAUGGAUGGACCCGCGGUGCAUUAGCUAGUUGGUGAGGUAACGGCUCACCAAGGCCACGAUGCAUAGCCGACCUGAGAGGGUGAUCGGCCACAUUGGGACUGAGACACGGCCCAAACUCCUACGGGAGGCAGCAGUAGGGAAUCUUCGGCAAUGGACGAAAGUCUGACCGAGCAACGCCGCGUGAGUGAAGAAGGUUUUCGGAUCGUAAAACUCUGUUGUUAGAGAAGAACAAGGAUGAGAGUAACUGUUCAUCCCUUGACGGUAUCUAACCAGAAAGCCACGGCUAACUACGUGCCAGCAGCCGCGGUAAUACGUAGGUGGCAAGCGUUGUCCGGAUUUAUUGGGCGUAAAGCGAGCGCAGGCGGUUUCUUAAGUCUGAUGUGAAAGCCCCCGGCUCAACCGGGGAGGGUCAUUGGAAACUGGGAGACUUGAGUGCAGAAGAGGAGAGUGGAAUUCCAUGUGUAGCGGUGAAAUGCGUAGAUAUAUGGAGGAACACCAGUGGCGAAGGCGGCUCUCUGGUCUGUAACUGACGCUGAGGCUCGAAAGCGUGGGGAGCAAACAGGAUUAGAUACCCUGGUAGUCCACGCCGUAAACGAUGAGUGCUAAGUGUUGGAGGGUUUCCGCCCUUCAGUGCUGCAGCUAACGCAUUAAGCACUCCGCCUGGGGAGUACGACCGCAAGGUUGAAACUCAAAGGAAUUGACGGGGGCCCGCACAAGCGGUGGAGCAUGUGGUUUAAUUCGAAGCAACGCGAAGAACCUUACCAGGUCUUGACAUCCUUUGACCACUCUAGAGAUAGAGCUUCCCCUUCGGGGGCAAAGUGACAGGUGGUGCAUGGUUGUCGUCAGCUCGUGUCGUGAGAUGUUGGGUUAAGUCCCGCAACGAGCGCAACCCUUAUUGUUAGUUGCCAUCAUUCAGUUGGGCACUCUAGCAAGACUGCCGGUGACAAACCGGAGGAAGGUGGGGAUGACGUCAAAUCAUCAUGCCCCUUAUGACCUGGGCUACACACGUGCUACAAUGGGAAGUACAACGAGUCGCGAAGUCGCGAGGCUAAGCUAAUCUCUUAAAGCUUCUCUCAGUUCGGAUUGUAGGCUGCAACUCGCCUACAUGAAGCCGGAAUCGCUAGUAAUCGCGGAUCAGCACGCCGCGGUGAAUACGUUCCCGGGCCUUGUACACACCGCCCGUCACACCACGAGAGUUUGUAACACCCGAAGUCGGUGA